UGCGGUUGAAUGAAUUUUAACUGAUCAUUUCGAUGCACUUUUGAUAUUUUUGGAUAUUAUUAGUCAGCUCGGAGCCCUGAACAAGGUUCCACAAAAAUUUUUGAUUUUCAUCCGUACCAUCGGUGAGAGUGGUGCAUAGCCUAUCCUGUCUACAGAGAGAGUGGUAGAAAGCUGGUUGUGGCUGCAAUCGGUAGUGCCUGAAAUUCUAAUAACAAAUGUACAAAAAUUUGCACAAAAUUUCGUCGUAGAAGGACACAUUUCACUUAUUCACGCAACAUUAUCGGCACUGUUGACAUGAGGCAUUGCAAGUGUGGUGUCGAUUGACAGCUGAGACUUCCCGCAUUUCAGAAUUAACCAUUGUAAUUACAAAAAAUUUGAAUAAAUGUGUUACAGGUGCCUCUGAAACUCGCAAAUUUUACCAAAUAUGAGGGAAAAACUUUGAGCUACUGUCGGCCUCUACGUAGACUGUCUC